CAGGUCACUCCUACGGGAGGCAGCAGUGAGGAAUAUUGCGCAAUGGGCGAAAGCCUGACGCAGCGACGCCGCGUGUGGGAUGAAGCGUCUACGACGUGUAAACCACUGUCAGAGGACAGAAACACUGAUUGUCCUCAGAGGAAGGGGCGACUAACUCUGUGCCAGCAGUCGCGGUAAUACAGAGGUCUCGAGCGUUAGUCGGAAUCACUGGGCUUAAAGCGUGCGUAGGCGGAUUUGCAGGCGUCGUGUGAAAGCCCUCGGCUCAACCGGGGAAUUGCACGGCGAACCGCAAGUCUUGAGACAAGUAGGGGCGGUCGGAACGAUAGGUGGAGUGGUGAAAUGCGUUGAUAUCUAUCGGAACGCCAAAGGUGAAGACAGACCGCUGGGCUUGUUCUGACGCUGAGGCACGAAAGCGUGGGUAGCAAACAGGAUUAGAUACCCUGGUAGUCCACGCCCUAAACGAUGCAUAUUUGGUGUAGGUCAUUCAGUUGAUCUGUGCCGGAGCUAACGCGUUAAAUAUGCCGCCUGGGGAGUACAGUCGCAAGGUUAAAACUCAAAGGAAUUGACG
rnacentral:rRNA from 1 species